CGGCGUACGGGUGCGUAACGCGUAUGGAACUUGCCCAUAUCAUUGGGAUAGCCCGGGGAAACUCGGAUUAAUACCGGAUAAUAAUACGUAUCGCAUGGUAUGUAUUUGAAAGAUUUAUCGGAUAUGGAUAGUCAUGCGUCAGAUUAGUUAGUUGGUGAGGUAACGGCUCACCGAGGCGAUGAUCUGUAGGGGUCCUGAGAGGGAGAUCCCCCACACUGGUACUGAGACACGGACCAGACUCCUACGGGAGGCAGCAGUGGGGAAUAUUGGACAAUGGGUGAGAGCCUGAUCCAGCCAUUCCGCGUGAAGGACGACGGACCUAUGGUUUGUAAACUUCUUUUAUAUAGGGAUAAACCUACUCUCGUGAGGGUAGCUGAAGGUACUAUAUGAAUAAGCACCGGCUAACUCCGUGCCAGUAGCCGCGGUAAUACGGAGGGUGCAAGCGUUAUCCGGAUUUAUUGGGUUUAAAGGGUCCGUAGGUGGAUUUAUAAGUCAGUGGUGAAAUCUUGUUGCUUAACGACAAAACUGCCAUUGAUACUGUUGAUCUUGAGUGGAAUUGAAGUAGCUAGAAUGAGUAGUGUAGCGGUGAAAUGCAUAGAUAUUACUCGGAAUACCGAUUGCGAAGGCAGGUUACUAAAUUUUUACUGACACUGAUGGACGAAAGCGUGGGUAGCGAACAGGAUUAGAUACCCUGGUAGUCCAUGCUGUAAACGAUGUACACUCGUUGUUGGGCUGAAGUUCAGUGACUAAGCGAAAGUGAUAAGUGUACCACCUGGGGAGUACGUUCGCAAGAAUGAAACUCAAAGGAAUUGACGGGGGCCCGCACAAGCGGUGGAUCAUGUGGUUUAAUUCGAUGAUACGCGAGGAACCUUACCAAGGCUUAAAUGGGUUCUGACAGGUUUAGAGAUAGACUUUUCUUUGGACAGGAUUCAAGGUGCUGCAUGGUUGUCGUCAGCUCGUGCCGUGAGGUGUCAGGUUAAGUCCUAUAACGAGCGCAACCCUUGCCGAUAGUUGCCAUCAUUGAGUUGGGGACUCUAUCGGGACUGCCUACGCAAGUAGAGAGGAAGGUGGGGAUGACGUCAAAUCAUCACGGCCCUUACGUCUUGGGCUACACACGUGAUACAAUGGUAGGUACAGGGGGCAGCUACUCUGCGAGGAGGUGCGAAUCUCGAAAGCCUAUCUCAGUUCGGAUUGGAGUCUGCAACUCGACUCUAUGAAGCUGGAAUCGCUAGUAAUCGCACAUCAGCCAUGGUGCGGUGAAUACGUUCCCGGGCCUUGUACACACCGCCCGUCAAGCCAUGGGAGUCUGGGGUACCUGAAGUUGGUGACCGUAAAAGGAGCUGCCUAGGGUAAGACAGGUAACUAGGGCUAAGUCGUAACAAGGUAACC
rnacentral:rRNA from 1 species